rnacentral:rRNA from 1 species
UACGAAGGGGGCUAGCGUUGCUCGGAAUCACUGGGCGUAAAGGGCGCGUAGGCGGCCUGUUAAGUCGAACGUGAAAUCCCCGGGCUCAACCCGGGAACUGCGUCCGAUACUGGCAGGCUUGAAUCCGGGAGAGGGAUGCGGAAUUCCAGGUGUAGCUGGUGAAAUGCGUAGAUAUCUGGAGGAACACCGGUGGCGAAGGCGGCAUCCUGGACCGGCAUUGACGCUGAGGCGCGAAAGCGUGGGGAGCAAACAGG